rnacentral:tRNA from 1 species
GCACUGGUGGUUAAGAGGUAGAAUUCUCACCUUCAAGCAGGAGACCCAGGUUCAAUUCCCGGCCAAUGCA